ensembl:piRNA 21ur-12085 ncRNA
UUAUUUAAUAGGCAAUUCUUA